GGCUUGUUAUUCAGGAGUCUAGGAAUUCGUGACUGCCCUGUGGAAGCCCACGCAGUGCAGAGGAGAUCAGCAAAGCACCCAGUCAUGUGUCUCACUCCUACACCUUAGUCCCUCUGGUAGGGGACACGACAAGGAGAAUAGAGGAGGUAUAGGAGGCUAGAUCCCAAGGCAGGAGGAAAUCCCCAUGUCCUCAGCCCCCCAGGCAUCUCUGUCUGUGGAAUCCCUGAGCUGCAGAUGUCACUUCUUCUGUACUGCGGACGCAGCGGUGGGGGUUGAUUGGUUAUUGGAUGGAAUUAGAUGGCAUGUGGUAUUUGUGUGUUUAUUUUGAUGUUAGCUGUUGUCUGUCCCAGCGCCCAGGGGCUUGGGGGAUACCCUUAGUUAGUUUUGACUGCUAAGGGCUUUGCUUCACCUGUAGUGGAUAUGGGUGUUACAGACUCCUAGGGCCAGAUUUUCCCCUAUUUGCGCCCCAAAAACAAGUGGCCAGAUUUUCCUAAGAGCUCAGAAUGUUGCGUGAACCCGAGGUAUGGAGCUCUUGUGAAAUCCUGCCCAUAAGGGGUCAGGGUGGGAGCGGCUGGGUGCUCAGCACCUGCAAUCCUGUCCCAUCGAGCGGGACUGAUUAAAUUAUACAGGGGUGUCUCCUAGGGAUGUGCUGGGCCCUGGGCUGGGUUCUGAGCAGGUAUGGAACGGGAGAGUGAUUAUUUCCUUUUAACCUUUAAAUCCAGUGCAUCCGGUGCUCCAAGUGCUGGGCUGCGAGCCUGGCAUUCCUCAGUUCAAAUCAGACAUUGGCGUGGACUUUCUCUGCACCUCUGGGCAAGCCACUUGAUUACCCCCUGGCCUCAGUUUCCCCCAGUGUUAAAAUGGGGAUAAUGGCGUUGGCAGGGAUAUCGGGAGGGUUAAUUAGCUAGUGUUCAUCUGGUGCUUUGAGGAUGUGAUGCUAAGAUGAUUCGUGGAGCUCCCACGCUCUGCAGCUGCCCCCUGCUGCACUCCUCCCUUACCGUAAGGUUUCUCCUAACACCUAAACAGGAGAGUGGCUGCAGCUGGGAAGGGAAUGAUACGUCAGGGGGCUGGGGCUGAGAGCUUGUUUUCUCUUUAAUGAGAGACUUGGUGUCCCUUUAGACCCAUGUAAUCAUGUUUAGACACUGACAGAUGCCUUAGAAAUUGGUGUAAUGCUAAUGGAGUCUUAUGGAUGAGAUAUAAAAUAUGUAUAUAUAAAAUACAACAAACCCAUGGCCUCCCAGGGCCUGCCCAAUUGUGAUUAUGCUGCUUAGCAAUAGCAUGGAUGCAGCGCCAGAGACAGAACCCAGAUGUUCCUGCUCCGAAAGUCUAGGCCCCAACUACUUGAGCUCAAGGAGAAUCCCCAUUAGCCAUAUAGGGCUAUGGCACACAUUUGGGCAGUCCUGGUUCAGUCCUGCAAAGAAGAAUGGGAGUGUACAUACACCCUAGCCUGUACAGUGCAGUCAGCUCUGCCUUUAACUCACUGCUGGGCUCAGCACCCCCGGAUUCACUGAGGCUCUGCUUUGCCAGAGGAUGGCAGCGAUGGGGUCCUGGUGAUGCAGAGAACAGCUCUGUUGCUUUGGGGGUGAGGGGCUCUUUGCAGCCCUCAUCCCGAACUGCAGGGCAGAGUGCCCACAGGACUCCGCUCUGCCCCCUGCACCAGCUGUCUUGCCAGUCUAUGGAUGUGUGCGGGCUUGUUUUUAUAGAAACCACUGCUGAGAAAUGAGGUCACUCCAACCCAGAGAAAGAGAGAAGUCCGGUCUGGUUAUUCCUCUAGACCUUCUGCCCCCAACCAAGUAAACAGAGCUACUGAGUCUGCUCUGCUGUAUGUGCUGACCUGGGUGUGAACUGGAGAGAGAGGCCCUGCACCAGGCCCCUGCACUGGACACCCCAGCACUCUGUGGCAGCUUGGAUCUGGAGCCACACUGGGUCGGGCCCAUGUGUGUAGCCCUGACUGAAAGAUCCUGGACUUGAACCUGGGAGUUCUGUCCUGAGUCUCCACUUUCCUCGUCUGUCAGCAAAUAGCUAUGAAACCCUCUUGUGAAAUGAAUGUGUCUCACCCUACGUCUAGUGAGUGGUCCACACAGACAAUAAUAGCCUUCUACUGCUACCACUUAGGGGGGCUCUAAAGGCCCAAACCCUGCGAAUGACCCAAGUUCUCAGUCAAUCCAGCUUCAUAUGAUGGAAUUUCUGUGUUUUCAGGACCCCAGCCUCAUUCAGUGCAUGGGAUACAUCUGCACUGGGGCUGAAUCAGGGCUAUGUAGUGAAGGAGGCUGUUGUCUGUAGGAUUCCUACCUCAUUCGUUGCAGAAGUUUGAAGAUGCCCAGUGAACGAGGCAGGGGCUGCAGAAAGAGAAAGGGUGGACCUGUGCCCAAGGAAAUUGAAUGUUGCCCCGGAGAAGUGGAUUCUUUCCCUGCUUCUGUCGGAGCUCCUGCUUUAUGCUGGGUAAAUCACUUAAACCACAGUGCUCACAGUUGACCACUAAUUGUGUCUUCCUCGUUUUCUGGCUUCCCAACCCCAAGACACCAGGGAACAGAUUUGCAGAAGCACUGAGCACUCACAGCUGCAAUUCAGGUCGACGGGAGCUGAGCUCUGGGCAUCGAAUGUGCCAUAAAAAUUCUAAGAGAGAUGAGCAAAAAGAACAGGAAAGAAACAGGAUUCUUUGCUGCUUUUACAGAUCCAGACUAACACAGCUACCCCUCUGAAAAAAGAACAGGAGCACUUGUGGCACCUCAGAGACCAAGGCCUUGGCUACACUGGAGAGUUGCAGCGCUGGUAGUGGCUUUACAGCGCUGCAACUAUUACUCCCCAUCCACACUGGCAAGGCACAUACAGCGCUGUAUCUCCCUGGCUACAGCGCUGGUUGUACUCCACAUGGACGAGAGGAAUAAAGAGAACAGCGCUGGUGCUGCAGUGCUGGGGUGCCAGUGUAAACAGUGAUUAAUCUUACUACGCUGUAACUGACCUCUGGAAUUUUCCCAUAAUGCUUUUAACUAAAGAACUCUCUUUGUUUUGUUGUGGGGCUCCGGGAGCUGCUUAUCUAAAAAAUAAACACAGCUCCUGUUUGCUCGAGCAGAGGCAGGCAGGGAAUGUCCACAGCUAG